UACGUAGGGUGCAAGCGUUAAUCGGAAUUACUGGGCGUAAAGCGUGCGUAGACGGUUGCGUAAGUCAGAUGUGAAAGCCCCGGGCUCAACCUGGGAAUUGCAUUUGAGACUGCGUAGCUAGGGUGCGGAAGAGGGAAGCGGAAUUUCCGGUGUAGCGGUGAAAUGCGUAGAUAUCGGAAGGAACACCAGUGGCGAAAGCGGCUUCCUGGUCCAGCACCGACGUUCAGGCACGAAAGCGUGGGAGCAAACAGG
rnacentral:rRNA from 1 species